rnacentral:rRNA from 1 species
AUGAGGAGGAUGAGCAGCUCCGCAGUCCAGUCGCGGGCCGGCGCAUCCAAGGGCGAGGCCGGCGCGAGCGCUGGUCUACGGAGCUCUAUACUCGGAAGCUUCGGCUUUGCAAUCAUCGAUAUCUCUUAUGAGGAAAACAGUUUGCGCGUGGUUGAUCGAGGCCUUCUGGAAUUACUGCAAGCUUCCAACAGUUGCCAAGUAACGAUAUUGAACACCUCCGUCAAAGUGGCCCAACCGUUAAGCAUCGACCAUGUCGGCCUGAACCUCAUCUUGUACAACUGCAUGGCGGUUGCGUACGACGCGACCGGGAACUAUGGCGGCUACGCUUUGGAGGGCUGCAACGCUGUGGUCACGCCGGUGCUUGGCUAA